CCUGCAGCAGGUUAAGAAUAUGGUUCGAUCAAGUAAAAACCCUCUUGUUCAAAUUGCAAAGAGGCUGAAAGAGAUGCAGCAUGCUCAAAGGAUUUAUACACCAAAUACAGAACAUAAAAUAUAUACCAAGGCACCAAACAAUGCCUAUUUGCUGAAUAAUGAAACUUGCUGCCAAGUUUUGGACACUGUCAGUGACACCGAUGAAAAUGGAGACAGCAUGUUCCUUUGCAGGGUAUAUUCGAGAAGUAUACCUCUCUUUGAGAAACCUUGUAACUCCAAAUUAAUUGGAGCAUUUAAGGUUCUUACUAGGAAUUCAUCCAUGAAGGUGAUUCCAGCAAGAAAACUAAACCGCACAGGUAUGAUGAUCGAGACAGAAAGCGCAAAUACUUUUCUGUCAAUACUACAUGACUUAUGACAAAUGACAUCUGAAAAGCGGUAUGCAGUGGUAGGCUUCAAUGAUCGUAGUGUGGGUAUCAUCUCCACAACCUGGAUUGAAAAAUCUGAUGAUAUGAUUUUGACGUUGCAAAACGAAGAUGCUUAGCUGCGGAAGACACUUCAAAUGUCGAAACUGAAGACGAUAUGGGCUAUCCUCGACAACGAAAAAGGAAACCAUGCUUCAAAUAUGAAGAAGAGAAUUCCGAGAAUAACAAACGCAAUCAUCACUCGUCUCAAUCCAAGAAGAAGUGUUCGCCAUCUUCAUAUGAGAAUACACCUUCAAAAGAAAUAAGUCCUCCGCAAAUACCAUAUUAUUCUGGUAUAUUAAGUGAAUCUAAUAGAACAGUCCUACAAAAGCCGUCUCCAGUGAAGACUACACUUCACAAUACACCUUCAA